GGCCUAACACAUGCAAGUCGAGGGGUAGAGUUCUUCGGAACUUGAGACCGGCGCACGGGUGCGUAACGCGUAUGCAAUCUACCUUUUACAGGGGGAUAGCCCAGAGAAAUUUGGAUUAAUACCUCAUAGUAUUAUGAAAUGGCAUCAUUUUAUAAUUAAAGUCACAACGGUAAAAGAUGAGCAUGCGUCCCAUUAGCUAGUUGGUAAGGUAACGGCUUACCAAGGCUACGAUGGGUAGGGGUCCUGAGAGGGAGAUCCCCCACACUGGUACUGAGACACGGACCAGACUCCUACGGGAGGCAGCAGUGAGGAAUAUUGGACAAUGGGCGCAAGCCUGAUCCAGCCAUGCCGCGUGCAGGAUGACGGUCCUAUGGAUUGUAAACUGCUUUUAUACGAGAAGAAACACUCCUUCGUGAAGGAGCUUGACGGUAUCGUAAGAAUAAGGAUCGG
rnacentral:rRNA from 1 species